rnacentral:rRNA from 1 species
UAUUGCCAGUUGCUACCAGGUAAUGCUGGGCGACUCUGGUGAGACUGCCCCGGUUAACGGGGAGGAAGGUGGGGACGACGGUCAAGUCAUCAUGGCCCUUACGCCUAGGCUACACACGUACUACAAUGGCGCAUACAAAGGGCAGCGAUACCGCGAGGUGGAGCCAAUCCCAAAAAGUGCGUCCCAAGUCCGGAUUGCAGUCUGCAACUCGACUGCAUGAAGUUGGAAUCGCUAGUAAUUCGAGAUCAGCAUGCUCGGGUGAAUGCGUUCCCGGGCCUU